UACGGAAGGCAGCAGUGGGGAAUAUUGGACAAUGGGCGCAAGCCUGAUCCAGCCAUGCCGCGUGUGUGAAGAAGGCCUUCGGGUUGUAAAGCACUUUUGUCCGGAAAGAAAAGCUUAGGGUUAAUAACCUUGAGUCAUGACGGUACCGGAAGAAUAAGCACCGGCUAACUUCGUGCCAGCAGCCGCGGUAAUACGAAGGGUGCAAGCGUUACUCGGAAUUACUGGGCGUAAAGCGUGCGUAGGUGGUUUUGUUAAGUCUGAUGUGAAAGCCCUGGGCUCAACCUGGGAAUGGCAUUGGAAACUGGCUUACUAGAGUGCGGUAGAGGGGUGUGGAAUUCCCGGUGUAGCAGUGAAAUGCGUAGAUAUCGGGAGGAACAUCUGUGGCGAAGGCGACACCCUGGGACCAGGCACUGACACUGAGGCACGAAAGCGUGGGGAGCAAACAGGGAUUAGAUAC
rnacentral:rRNA from 1 species